rnacentral:rRNA from 1 species
UACGGGGGGGCAAGCGUUGUUCGGAAUUACUGGGCGUAAAGGGCGCGUAGGCGGUUCGCUAAGUUGAAUGUGAAAACUCUGGGCUUAACCUCGAGCUGUCGGCGGAAACCAUCUGGCUAGAGUCCGGAAGAGGAGAAUGGAAUUCCCGGUGUAGCGGUGAAAUGCGCAGAUAUCGGGAAGAACACCCGUGGCGAAGGCGGUUCUCUGGGACGGUACUGACGCUGAGGCGCGAAAGCCAGGGGAGCAAACGGG